CAAAAUAAAGCAAUAUAUAUUUUCGAUAUGAUUAAACGAAACUGUUCUGAAUUUAAUGAUCGACUUCACCUUCAAAUAUUUAUACACCUCUCUCAUUCGAUCUUUAUUCGAAUAUACUCCGUUAAUCUGGGAAGCAUUGAACAUAAAUAAUACAAAAAUGAUAAGCACACGAAAAAAACCCGUAUUGUUCAAUUAUAGAAAUAAUGCGUUUAUACAUCAUGGU